GUGACCAAGGACUUCGAGGCGUGGAUCAGCAAGUGCCAGACGUGCAGCCAGACGCGGCCGCCGAUGCUGCCCCGAUAUUACUGCAUCGCGCACGGAUGCGGGAUCUCCCAGGGGCCGUACGUAGAGGAGAAGGGCAUCACCUUCCACAGGUUCCCGUUUGACGACCCCGAGCGGCUGCAGCUCUGGCUCAGCAACGCGAAGCGGGACCGCUGGUCCAUCACGUCCAGGUCCGUCCUGUGCUCCAAGCACUUCGCAGACGACUGCUUCGAUGGGUCCGGGGAGACGGUGACGCUCAGGCAAGAUGCCGUCCCCACCGUCGACAUUUCCCCGGUCGCUCCGGAGGUGACUCAAACAGUAGAUGAUUCUUUCAUGGAAUUAGAAGAGCCGCACCUGAAUCUAGUGGAGGACACGCCGCACCUGGAGCACCCGUUAUGCCGUAGGAAAGGAGGACCUGAAGAUAAAGGACCCUCAAGGAGCGGACGGCCAACAACGUUUUCUGAUUCCUUUUCCAGGUUGCACUUCAAGAAAUUCGACGCCUUAGAAAAAUAUCUGCGAUUUGGAACGUACGCGAACGGCCAGAAGAAAUCCGUAAGACAAGAAAUUAGACGGUACAGCAAGAAGUUUUCCUGGAAAGACGGAGUUCUGUACUACUGCCGAGGCACCAAACACCGGAGGGUGCUCCGGAACCAGGAGGAGGUGAACACGGUGCUGAAGGAGUUCCACGACAACCGCGGCCACUACGGCCUGAAGAAGUGCCUGGCGCCCAUCGCCGACGUGUACUAA
rnacentral:lncRNA from 1 species